UUUUUUUGCUAAAAUCUUCUUAGUGAUUUACAAUGCAGAUUCUAUUCUUAUUGCUUUUAUUGCUGGAUAUGUAACGUCUUCUUUCCGGACAAUGAUGCUUCUCUAUGCCGGAGUUCCUAACUGGCUUUGAGCUUAUGGUCUUUCUGAACAUUUGAUCUGUUUGUCAUUAACUUCUCAAUAUCUACGUGAAAAGACCAUGUAAUGAGAUAAUUAUAAAUUUCCAAAUCUUGUUUUGAAAGUUUGUAGUAUCUAGUUGGUUUAGCAUAUUCAGAAGAGAGGAUUGGUCAGCAUGUUCUCUGUUUUACGUUAUUUGGUCAAAGGUCACUAGGCAGUAUAUUGAUUUUGGUAGCAUUGUUGUUUGAUUAACAGAUAAUAAUUUGCGUCACUGAUCCCUUGAUCAGAACUCUUUGUAGUUCCAAUAUGGCGGCCGAUUGAUUUUGGCGGCAUAUAAGAAGCAUUGUUUUCAUGUCAUUAAAGAGAUGUGGAGAGAAUGUUAUGUUCUGCUUUUUAAUCAGUUAAUGCCCUAUGAGACUGGGUCUGUGGUUACGUUGACGGUCACGUGGUUGUGUCUUUCUCGACCCUCGAAACCUCUAAUACGUCCAGAGGUUUUUGCGCGUGGCUGAUUGUGACUUUUUUUUAUCUCUUAUGGGAAUAUGACGAUGAUGAUUGAAUGAUUUCAGUUCGUUAAAUCCAAAAAAUAUGGAGAAACAAAGAAACAAAAUUGGUCCCGUUAUCCAUUUGGUGGCUUUCAAUCAUGUGCGAAGUUUUCAUAUCAUCUUAAGCCGUUCAUUGCAGCUUGCAUGCAGACAGAUUUUUAUUGUAUAUUGUAAAAGAUGAAAACUAAUUAAAUAAUAUAUAACUGUAAACAUAUAUCUAAAAGGUCCUGGAUAAAGUUUUGAAACAUAGCAUAUCUUCUGCAUAUUCAAGUUUAAUCACCUUUUUUUGUUCAACGUUUAAUCACAUUCAUAUAUAUUCAUAUAUAUAUAUAUAUGUAUAUGUUUUUUUGGUACUGGUCUACUGGGUGAAGAUUUUAAGCUAAAACCCUAAUUAAUAGUUAUGACUUCUGUACAAUGUCAGAUAUUCUUGUCGCUUGAGAAAAAGCCUAAUUAUUAAAAAAUAAUUAAGUGGAGCAAAUUUUACCAAAUUGUCUGCUAUAUGGUUUAUGUUUUAAUGCUGUUGGUUUCUUUAUGGGGAGCUUUACACUAUAAAAAAUCUAUAAAUAAAUGUAGCAUCAAAUAUUCAAAUGAAUCGAUUAGUUUAUAUAUAGCGUAGAUCCAAGUAAAAUCUGAAUCUAUAUUUUUGGACCCAUGAAACUAAUACAUGGUAGUUUCUAGUUAGUUAGGAAUUAGGAUAGUGUGUGGAUACAUGUAUGAUAAAGUUUUGUAAGUAUAAGUAAUGUGGCGUGCAUUAUUGGCAUUUAUCUUUUAUAGAAUAUAUGAGGCACGAUUAUAGUGGUAUUCAUCAUCUCGUUCGUCACUCUUCCCAAACUUUUCAUUUGAAAAGGAAACAAUAAUUUGAAAUUUUAUUUUCUGUUUGUUGCGGUAGGCAUUUUUCUUUUAUCCACAACAACGAUCUUAUGCCCAACGUACAGUGUGUGAACACGUGCCCUAGACAAUAUCAAGCAAUUAUCUCUUUCCAUUUAUUCUAUUUUAAGGUUAAUUUCUAAUCUAUUAGACCAUGAUUAUUAGGUGAAACCCAAAAUGAGUUUCUAAAUUUUUUUUCUGUCUUAUCUGAUUUAUA